GAUGAACGCUGGCGGCGUGCCUAAUACAUGCAAGUCGAGCGAACAGACGAGGAGCUUGCUCCUCUGACGUUAGCGGCGGACGGGUGAGUAACACGUGGAUAACCUACCUAUAAGACUGGGAUAACUUCGGGAAACCGGAGCUAAUACCGGAUAAUAUAUUGAACCGCAUGGUUCAAUAGUGAAAGACGGUUUUGCUGUCACUUAUAGAUGGAUCCGCGCCGCAUUAGCUAGUUGGUAAGGUAACGGCUUACCAAGGCAACGAUGCGUAGCCGACCUGAGAGGGGAGGCGCCCAAAGGGAAACGGAGAACGGCCCCAGCCUCCGGGGGGGGGAACAAGAGGGAAUUCUGCAGAAAGGGGGCAAAGCCUGAGGGAGCACGGCCGGGUGGGUGAUAAAGUUCUUCGGAUCGAAAACCUGUGUUAUGGGGGAAAAAAAAAGGUGUAAGUAACUAUGCCCGUCUGGACGGUACAUAAUCAAAAAGCAACGGCUAACUACGUG
rnacentral:rRNA from 1 species